CUUGCCCGUUCCCAUUCAAGGUCUGUGCUACUGAACAAUCCCCGUUUAUUGUCGACCCGGUUGACGUACCUCCUUUGUAAUUGAAGCAGUGAGGAGGAGCCCCUAUGGGGCCCAUCCCGGGUGGUAUUUGAUGUAUGAUGUUCCUGGAAGUCGAGGCAGUGGUGAGGCAGAGGGAGGGUUUCGAUCCCAAUUACCGGUGCGGAAGAGAGAUCUGGGAAUGGCGAAGCCGCUGGGGCCGACGGGGGAGUUCUUCCGGCGGAGGGACGAGUGGAGGAAGCACCCGAUGCUCACCAACAACCUGCGCCGUGCCACUCCGGGCCUCGGUAUCGCCCUCGUCGCCUUCGGCGUCUACCUCGCCGGCGAGGCCGCCUACAACUACUUCCACCGCCCUGAUCCCCACUCCACCACCCACCACUGACGGGUAAUGCGACAUCGGCCCCCUCUUAAGGUCUAUGGUGUAAUAAUCCGAAUAAACAAGUGAUGGAGCAAAUGGCCAUUUUCUUAGAUGGUCUUGGAUAUCCAAGUUGAAGUGCUUUGAUCCUUGUACGUAUUUUCUGACAUGUUCUGCCCUUCCCCCUCUCAGAAAACAUGAAACUUGUUAAGCAAUCUGGAUUUGGACCAGUGUCACAUGCUUUGCUUCUGUGUUCAGCAAGUUCAUCCUGAAACUUAUGGAACAGGAAAUGCUUCAUGAUGA